rnacentral:lncRNA from 1 species
AUUUUUGGUGAGGCAAAUAAGUGUUUAAUGAGAGAGAAGAUAAGUGUGGAGAAAUCACAGGCAGGCAGGGGGUGGGGGAAGGUGGAGAGGGAGAGAGACAGACAGAAAGAGCAACGCAUGCUUUGGAGGUGGUUUAAGACACUUGUGUGGGCGCAGUCCUUCUGGGCUUCCUCUGGCCAAUCAUCUUGCUUCGUCUGGCUUUGGCCGGACUCAAGCAAGGCCCUCCCCUGAGUGCACAUCUUUUAGGUAGGAUGGAUUCCAGCGCAAGGGUUUCUGGGAAGUUGACAGGAUGUGCUAUGGUCUGGCGCCCCUCCUUUCCCAGAUCACAUGCUUAAACACUGCAGCAUCAGGGCACAGAGAAAAUAGACUCGCCUAGACUCUUUAGGAUCAAACCGAAUUAAGAUAAUUCUCUCCUUACUGAAGGUGGAUUGUUUGAAUCUAAUCUCAUCUUGAAAGGUUUCUUUUCAAGGAGAAAAAUCUGUUCGGUUUAAGUAACAAAAAACAUAUUCGGAGCUGUUAGUAAUAGUCUUUCUGAGGCAAAGUUGCUGAAUAAUUCCAAGUGCUAUGGAAACAUAACAUCCUGUAAUUUGGGUUUUAUCUUAUCUUUUUCCCCUAGACCCUGAAGUUUUUCUUUUUGCCAGUAACACACACUGACACCCCUCACCUCAGGGGAAAAGAGUUGUACUUUCUUUGGGCUGUAGAAGUUUGCUUUUGCCUUCCUAUACCUGCAGAAAAAAAUGAUGCCUUAAAGACACUUCAACUGUCUGAGACAGGCAACAAAUAAGUUUACUAAAUGAGGAAAUGAUGGGACUAAUUAAAAAAUAUUAGCCAGGGGUACAAAAUCUAUUUUAAAUAAUUCCUGAUACACUUUUCAUUUUAGAUUCUCACCAAACUUAAUUAAACUGCCCAAUAAGCAUGUACUCUUUUUUUUUUUUUUUGCCUUGCCUGUAGCAUGUGGAAGUUUCCCCAGGGAUCAAACCUGUGGCAAGUAGUGACAAGCCCAGAUAUUUAACCUGCUGAGCCACCAGGGAACUCCAUCAGGAAGUAUCUUUUGAGAGUUCUUUUGUGGCAGAGCAAGUUGAAGAUCCUACGUGGUCACUGCAGUGACUUGGGCUACUGCUGUGGUGUGGAUUCAAUCCCUGGCUCAGGAAAAUUUCCAGGGAAAACCUGGAACCCCAGCAUAUAUUCUUGAGAACCAAACCUGACCCCACUUCUAUGUUAAGACAGUAUAUGAUCAAAUGUAUUACUAUACAGACAAACAUGCAUAUAUAUGCCUUUAACAGAUGCUUGAAUAUAUAGUCUUUAACAUAUGACUUCUAUAUAUCAGAUAAAUACAGACAUAUUGUAAGUUAAAAAAAGUAACUGGAAAUCUGUUCAAAAUAAAAUUCUGGGCACCCAUAAGCUUCCAUGAGCACAAAUGCAUAGAUAUUUGGUAAUGUGUCUGCACCAGGAGCUGCCAGUUGUGUGGGUCCACAGAUUUAUCUUGCCGAGUAUUACGUUUUGUUUAUACUGGGCAGUUCAAAAGUAUUUGAGAAAAUAUUUUUAAAUUGGCAUCUUUUGCUUAAAAGUUCAACAUGUUAGAGUCUCUUGAAAAAAGUAGAAUAAUUGGAAACUAAUCAACGACCCCACAAGUAUCAUGUGGCUGGAAGGGAUAAUGUUGUUUGUUUUAGCAUGAGGGUCAAGGGACCCUGAUGGGGCUUCACCACUGGGUUGUUGUUUAUCAUCACGUGAGUUUGCUGUGUUCAUAACCCCCUCAGGUACAGGGAAGUCCCAGGUAGGGAUGUGUGAGAAGGAAAAAAGUUGGGUUAACACAGUGCUUUAUAAAGUGACUAAUAGAUCUCAGUGUAAUAUGUGAACACAGCAGUAGUCAGGAUGGCCAAGCUAUCUAAGGUGCUAUGUUCAAGUUGCAGUCUCCCCUGGAGGCAUGGGACUGAAUCCCACUUCUGAAAAAGCUUUCAGAGUCCUCUUGUGGCACAGCAGGUUAAGGAUCUGGCGUUGUCAAUGCUCAGGUUGCUCAGGUUUCUGCCGUGGCACGGGUUUGACCCCUGGCCCAGGAACUUCUGCAUGCAGUGGGCACGGCCAAAUAAAAUAAAGCAUAAAGCCAAGGAAAAUGAUCUUCUUGGCCUUACUCCUAUAGGCAUCCUGCUUUGUGAUCUGUGCUUAAUUCUUAUUCACCAGGACCUGGGACAGGGAGCCAGGCACAGAGGAAAGUUAACAUCUAGGCCUUCUUCUACAUCUGUUUGUCAUAAAGAUGUGGGGAAGAACUGGAGAAUAAGGUAGAAAGUUAAUGAAUUUAAUUAUGGGAGUAGUUCAAGUACUCAAAUCUAUGGCCAUAAAAAUUGGCUGAGGUUUCUUAAGAUUUUAAAAAAGAUGCAAUUUCAGUGACAGUUGACCCUUGAAUAACUCCCGGGUGAGGGGCACUGACCCUCCGCCCAGUCCAAAAUCAAUGUGUAACUUAUAGUCAGCCAUCCUCAUUCUGUUCCUCUGUAUUCAAGGUUCUGUAUCUAAUAAACCAUAGAUUAUGUAGUCUUAUAGUAUUGACUAUUACAAAGAAAUCCAUGUAUAAAUGGUCUACACAGGAGUUCCCAUCUUGGCUCAGCAGUGACAAACUUGACUAGUAACCAUGAGGAUGCAGGUUCGAUACCUGGCCUUGCUCAUUGGGUUAAGGAUCUGGCAUUGCUGUGGCUGUGGUAUAGGUCACAGAUGUGGUUUGGAUCCCAUGUUACUGUGGCUAUGGUGUAGACCAGCAGCUGUGGCUCUGAUUUGAUCCCUAGCAUGGGAACUUCCAUAUGCCACACAUGUGGUUCUAAAAAAAAAAAAAAAAAAAAAAAAAAA